UACGCAGGGGGCUAGCGUUGUUCGGAAUCACUGGGCGUAAAGCGCACGUAGGCGGAUCUUUAAGUCAGGGGUGAAAUCCUGGAGCUCAACUCCAGAACUGCCUUUGAUACUGAGGAUCUUGAGUUCGGGAGAGGUGAGUGGAACUGCGAGUGUAGAGGUGAAAUUCGUAGAUAUUCGCAAGAACACCAGUGGCGAAGGCGGCUCACUGGCCCGAUACUGACGCUGAGGCACGAAAGCGUGGGGAGCAAACAGG
rnacentral:rRNA from 1 species